UACAUGCAAGUCGAGCCGAAUCAAUAGGAGCUUGCUCCUGUUGGUUAGCGGCGGACGGGUGAGUAACACGUGGGCAACCUGCCUGUAAGACUGGGAUAACACCGGGAAACCGGUGCUAAUACCGGAUAAUCCUUUUCCUCACAUGAGGAAAAGCUGAAAGACGGUUUCGGCUGACACUUACAGAUGGGCCCGCGGCGCAUUAGCUAGUUGGUGAGGUAACGGCUCACCAAGGCGACGAUGCGUAGCCGACCUGAGAGGGUGAUCGGCCACACUGGGACUGAGACACGGCCCAGACUCCUACGGGAGGCAGCAGUAGGGAAUCUUCCACAAUGGACGAAAGUCUGAUGGAGCAACGCCGCGUGAGCGAUGAAGGCCUUCGGGUCGUAAAGCUCUGUUGUUAGGGAAGAACAAGUACCGGAGUAACUGCCGGUACCUUGACGGUACCUAACCAGAAAGCCACGGCUAACUACGUGCCAGCAGCCGCGGUAAUACGUAGGUGGCAAGCGUUGUCCGGAAUUAUUGGGCGUAAAGCGCGCGCAGGCGGUCCUUUAAGUCUGAUGUGAAAGCCCACGGCUCAACCGUGGAGGGUCAUUGGAAACUG
rnacentral:rRNA from 1 species